rnacentral:rRNA from 1 species
AGCAUAUCAAUAAGCGGAGGAAAAGAAACCAACAGGGAUUGCCCCAGUAACGGCGAGUGAAGCGGCAACAGCUCAAAUUUGAAAUCUGGCCCCUAGGGCCCGAGUUGUAAUUUGCAGAGGAUGCUUUUGGCGAGGUGCCUUCCGAGUUCCCUGGAACGGGACGCCAUAGAGGGUGAGAGCCCCGUCUGGUUGGAUGCCGAGCCUUUGUAAAGCUCCUUCGACGAGUCGAGUAGUUUGGGAAUGCUGCUCUAAAUGGGAGGUAUAUGUCUUCUAAAGCUAAAUACCGGCCAGAGACCGAUAGCGCACAAGUAGAGUGAUCGAAAGAUGAAAAGCACUUUGAAAAGAGGGUUAAAUAGUACGUGAAAUUGUUGAAAGGGAAGCGCUUAUGACCAGACUUGGACCCGGUGAAUCAUCCAGCGUUCUCGCUGGUGCACUUUGCCGGGCUCAGGCCAGCAUCAGUUUGCCUUGGGGGAUAAAGGCUUUGGGAACGUGGCUCCCUCGGGAGUGUUAUAGCCCAUUGCACAAUACCCUGGGGCGGACUGAGGUUCGCGCAUCUGCAAGGAUGCUGGCGUAAUGGUCAUCAGCGACCCGUCUUGAAACACGGACCAAGGAGUCGUCUUCGUAUGCGAGUGUUCGGGUGUAAAACCCCUACGCGUAAUGAAAGUGAACGCAGGUGAGAGCUUCGGCGCAUCAUCGACCGAUCCUGAUGUUCUCGGAUGGAUUUGAGUAAGAGCAUACGGGGCCGGACCCGAAAGAAGGUGAACUAUGCCUGUAUAGGGUGAAGCCAGAGGAAACUCUGGUGGAGGCUCGCAGCGGUUCUGACGUGCAAAUCGAUCGUCAAAUAUGGGCAUGGGGGCGAAAGACUAAUCGAACCUUCUAGUAGCUGG